rnacentral:rRNA from 1 species
AAAUUGAAGAGUUUGAUCAUGGCUCAGAUUGAACGCUGGCGGCAGGCCUAACACAUGCAAGUCGAACGGUAACAGGAAGCAGCUUGCUGCUUCGCUGACGAGUGGCGGACGGGUGAGUAAUGUCUGGGAAACUGCCUGAUGGAGGGGGAUAACUACUGGAAACGGUAGCUAAUACCGCAUAACGUCGCAAGACCAAAGAGGGGGACCUUCGGGCCUCUUGCCAUCGGAUGUGCCCAGAUGGGAUUAGCUAGUAGGUGGGGUAACGGCUCACCUAGGCGACGAUCCCUAGCUGGUCUGAGAGGAUGACCAGCCACACUGGAACUGAGACA